ACCGUCCUUGCUGGUUUGGGAAGAUUCAACAACGUAGUUGGAACUUUGUCCACUGCUCCAAUUAAUCAUAUUGAUCUCUUCUUCUUUGUUUUGAGGAAGAGGGUUAUCUUGCACAUGAGGUUGGUCGGGUUUAGUUACCACAAUCACCCCAUUGUCGAUCAAAUCCUUGAUCUUGUGUUUCAAGGCCCAGCAAUCCUAAGUGUCAUGUCCUG
rnacentral:lncRNA from 1 species